rnacentral:tRNA from 1 species
GAGGGUACAUCUCAGUGGUAGAGCGCAUGCUUAGCAUGCAUGAGGUCAUGGGUUCAAUCCCCUGUACCUCCA